GGGUUAGUAAGUGGGUCAUGCCUUCGGUAUGUACUGGCUUUACUGAUUCCUCCUUCUUGACGAACCGUGAUGUCAUUAAUUUGGUGUUGCGGGAAAUCGGGGCUGUUACUUUGAAAAAUUAGGAGUGUUUAAAGCAAGCUAACGCUUGAAUACAUUAGCAUGGAAUAAUGAAAUAGGACGUUAAUCCUAUUUUGUUGGUUUCUAGGAUCGACGUAAUGAUUA
rnacentral:rRNA from 1 species